AUUGAACGCUGGCGGCAUGCUUUACACAUGCAAGUCGAACGGUAACAGGCCGCAAGGUGCUGACGAGUGGCGAACGGGUGAGUAAUGCAUCGGAACGUGCCCAGUCGUGGGGGAUAACGCAGCGAAGGCUGCGCUAAUACCGCAUACGAUCUAUGGAUGAAAGCGGGGGACCGUAAGGCCUUGCGCGAUUGGAGCGGCCGAUGUCAGAUUAGGUAGUUGGUGGGGUAAAGGCUCACCAAGCCAACGAUCUGUAGCUGGUCUGAGAGGACGACCAGCCACACUGGGACUGGGACACGGCCCAGACUCCUACGGGAGGCAGCAGUGGGGAAUUCUGGACAAUGGGCGCAAGCCUGAUCCAGCAAUGCCGCGUGCAGGAAGAAGGCCUUCGGGUUGAAAACUGCUUUUGUACGGAACGAAACGGUCCUGGUUAAUACCUGGGGCUAAUGACGGUACCGUAAGAAUAAGCACCGGCUAACUACGUGCCAGCAGCCGCCGUAAUAC
rnacentral:rRNA from 1 species